rnacentral:rRNA from 1 species
AUUGAACGCUGGCGGCAUGCCUUACACAUGCAAGUCGAACGGCAGCGCGGACUUCGGUCUGGCGGCGAGUGGCGAACGGGUGAGUAAUACAUCGGAACGUACCCUGCUGUGGGGGAUAACUAGUCGAAAGAUUAGCUAAUACCGCAUACUACCUGAGGGUGAAAGUGGGGGACCGGAAACGGCCUCAUGCAGCAGGAGCUGCCGUUGUCUGAUUAGAUAGUUGUUGGGGUAAAGGCCCACCAAGGCGACGUUCAGUAGCUGGGCUGAGAGGCCGUUCAGCCACACUGGGACUUGGACACGGCCCAGACGCCUGAGGGAGGCAGCAGUGGGGAAUUUUGGACAAUGGGGGGAAACCUGGUACAGCAAUGCCGCGUGUGUGAAGAAGGCCUUCGGGUUGUAAAGCACUUUUGUCCGGAAAGAAAUGGCGCUGGUUAAUACCUGGCGUGGAUGACGGUACCGGAAGAAUAAGCACCGGCUAACUACGUG